ACUAUUGAACUCGCAGCUACUGGGAAAAGAAUGCAGGUUAGAGAACGACUCCAGAGAGUCCAGGCUCGGAGAUUCCCCAGGAGGGCUCGGGUCGCUGCAACUGCUGCUGAGGCCGCCGGCGCUGCUGGGCUCUUCGGAGCCGGCGGCGGUCAGUUCUGCUUGGCAGGUGCCGGCGAGAUCCGGGCGGGCUCCCGCGUCUCCGGCGGUACCCAACUCAUGACCCACUCCGGCCACGGCUGUCUCCGGGGAGGCGGUCACCUUGUACUGCCCUCUCAGAGGCGCCUCGGCGGCAGCAGGACUCUCCAAACCACUGUCCUUCAAGUCCAAACCCGCGGAGGAGCUGCAGGGUCCGGGAACCUCAGGAGAGCCCGCGGGAGAAGCCGAGUCCGGGAGGCUCCUCCUGGCGGCCGCCGCCCCCAGCCCAUUCCCGCCGCUGGUCUCCGCCGCCCAUACCCCAGGACCAUCACCAGCGGCGAGCCUGGUCUCCUGUAGCCCUUCCUGCGAAGAACCUGUCCCUGACGCUGGCCCGGCCGCCACCCCGUGUUCUAGCGGCUGCAGGCUCUCGGGGCUGCUCUCCAUACCGGGCCGCCCGCCCCCAGCUCUAUGGAGACCGCGGCCACUUCUCCGCAGCCAGCGCCUUGGACGCCAUGACAGCUGUAUUGGCAGCAACAGCGCCCUGGCGCGGCCUCGGUCAGGCACGUCACCGGGGAGAGUACUAAGAACGCGCGCGGGCGCGCGCUACCGCUCUGUCCGUGCGCUCUGAGCUUGCCUCCGCCUGACUGCGCGCUGAGAGGCGAAGGCGAACCACUCAGCAGCCGCCCACGUGGCCCAGCCCUUUCCGUGCGUCCGACCGAGCUCGCUCUCGGAAGGCCGGGCGUGGAGGGCGUGGCUAGGAGGGCGCGGCCGGGGGGCGCGCCCCCGCGGCUCAGCUCCAGUAGGAAAACAUCCUCUCACUAUGUGGCCGGAAGUUGAACUCCCGGGCAGCUCCCUUGUGUGCGGCUUCUUUAAAGGGAAGGCAGGAGGCGGACAGCUUGGCUGUGACCCUUUAGCGCUGGGUCGCGUGUGGCCCACCCUCGGCCUGAGGCAUUGUUGGGUGGUUGGAGGUGGUUGUAGUAUUUGGAAAAGAACUUGUCCCUGAAGGGCUCAGGGGACUUGGUUUCUCAGCUCCUAAUAUGGAAAAUUAAGGCAUUUCUUACGAGAUGCAGAUUUUAAAGCAGGCAUAUCUACUCGACGGCUUUGGAUUACUGCACUGCACAAAUUCCAGUCUCUGUCGGUUUUGGCUGAGAAGAGCUGUGCUUCUCACCAGCUACUGGUGAGACAUUCGCCCUACAGGAAAGGGUCGGUAUGAUUGUGGACAUUGACAUGCGUAGCAAAAGAAAGUGGCUAAUUUGCGCCAAUAAUAAUAAAUUAGCUUGUAUUUGAAUUA
rnacentral:lncRNA from 1 species